rnacentral:rRNA from 1 species
CUACGGGAUGCUCCAGUGGGGAAUAUUGCACAAUGGAGGAAACUCUGAUGCAGCAACGCCGCGUGGAGGAUGACACUUUUCGGAGCGUAAACUCCUUUUAUAUAGGAAGAAGAUGACGGUACUAUAUGAAUAAGCGCCGGCUAACUCCGUGCCAGCAGCCGCGGUAAUACGGAGGGCGCAAGCGUUACUCGGAAUCACUGGGCGUAAAGAGCGUGUAGGCGGAUUAAAAAGUCAGAAGUGAAAUCCUAUAGCUUAACUAUAGAACUGCUUCUGAAACUCUUAAUCUAGAAUAUGGGAGAGGUAGAUGGAAUUUCUGGUGUAUGGGUAAAAUCCGUAGAGAUCAGAAGGAAUACCGAUUGCGAAGGCGAUCUACUAGAACAUUAUUGACGCUGAGACGCGAAAGCGUGGGGAGCAAACAGGAUUAGAUACCUUCGUAGUC